rnacentral:rRNA from 1 species
UACGUAGGGGGCAAGCGUUGUCCGGAAUUAUUGGGCGUAAAGAGCGCGUAGGCGGUCCGAUAAGUCGGCUGUGAAAGUCAGGGGCUCAACCCUUGAAAGCCGGCCGAUACUGUCGGACUAGAGUCCGGAAGAGGCAAGUGGAAUUCCCGGUGUAGCGGUGAAAUGCGCAGAUAUCAGGAGGAACACCGGUGGCGAAGGCGGUGGUCUGGGCCGGCACUGACGCUGAGGAGCGAAAGCGUGGGGAGCGAACAGG